rnacentral:rRNA from 1 species
UACCAGCACCCCGAGUGGUCGGGACGAUUAUUGGGCCUAAAGCAUCCGUAGCCGGUUUUUCAAGUCCUCCGUUAAAUCCAGCUGCUUAACAGAUGGGCUGCGGAGGAUACUAUAAGACUAGGAGGCAGGAGAGGCAAGCGGUACUCAGUGGGUAGGGGUAAAAUCCGUUGAUCCAUUGAAGACCACCAGUGGCGAAGGCGGCUUGCCAGAACGCGCUCGACGGUGAGGGAUGAAAGCUGGGGGAGCAAACCGG